UACGAGGGGGGCAAGCGUUGUUCGGAAUUAUUGGGCGUAAAGGGCGCGUAGGCGGUGCGGUAAGUCUGAUGUGAAAUCUCCGGGCUCAACUCGGAGUCUGCAUCAGAGACUGCCGUGCUCGAGUGUGGGAGAGGUGAGUGGAAUUCCCGGUGUAGCGGUGAAAUGCGUAGAGAUCGGGAGGAACACCAGAGGCGAAAGCGGCGACCUGGACAGGUACUGACACUCAACUGCGAAAGCGUGGGGAGCAAACAGG
rnacentral:rRNA from 1 species